UAGUCUCAUGCCACUCAUGCCAGAGUGCACUGGUGUGAACAUGGCUCACUGUAGCCUCCACCUGGGCUUAAGCGAUCCUCCCACCCACCUCACCUCUCCAAAUAGCUAGGAUUGUAGGAAUGUGCCACCACGCCCAGGAAAUUUGUUUUUUUGUUUUUUCCCCAGAUACAGGAUCCACUAUUGCUCAGGCUGUCUCGAACUCCUGAAGGAUUACACAACUAGUCUUUCCACCUUGGCCACCCAAAGUGUUGGGGUUACAGGUGUGAGCCACCUCAUUUAGCUUAGUCUAUUCUUUGUGUGCUAAUUACAUGCCCUCCUAAAAAUACAAAGUCACAGUUCAAAAAAUAUUGUUUUGCCAGGCACCAGUAGCAUGUGCCUGUUGUAGUUAAAAGCUACUCUGGAGGGUGAAGUGGGAGAAAUACUUGCGCCCAAGUCUGGGUUGCAUUGCCAUAUGUCAGGUA
rnacentral:lncRNA from 10 species